GGGAAAGUUUUGGCGACGAGGACGACGUGUAAAGCGUGAAAAAGGCAUUCCUGGAAAGUGCAAUUACAUCUUUUUUCUGAAACAGGACGACCCCAGCUGAGAUAGUGACUAGAGCAAAAAGCGCCGACAUUUGAGAUGGCGGGCGACGACCAGCUGAGCCACAAAGAGACGAGUGACGUCCGCCUUUUGGAAGGCUGAUUUGACCAACAUUUACCAAUUACAGGACUGCAGGAAUAAGGAAGAAAAGCUCUGACUCCUGGGGAGAAGUCGUUUGACGUCAGGAGAUCCGGGCUCUGCUGUUUGUUGGAACAUCUGCAUGUGGGGUUCCUUUUUUUUCCUGUGCUUGCUACUUGAUGGUCUUCACUUGUCCUUCACGCCGAGCCUCCACAGCCACCACCAGACCGCCUGAGUCCAGAAUGCUGUAGUGAUGAGGACCCCUUAAAGUCCCCCGCCAGCUAUAGCCCCCGUCUGACGACACAAACACAUCCGGGUGCUGCGAGGACGACAGGCAAUCCCCCACGAGGAUGCUGGUUUUCGGGACGAUGUUCGAAGUAGCUCACAUUCUUGACUUCUUGCCCACAUUCGACAUUCUGAGGUUUGGAAAGCUGCUGCCAUGUUCCGCCGCGAUUGAAGGAGAUGACCGAUCGUAUUCGUCCGUCUGAAAAAGAUAGUGGACAGCCUUUACCUUUGUCCAGUCUGUUGGUGAGGUAGACUCCUCGCAGCGACGUGACGUUCCGGAAAUCGCUCUUCCUCUGCCCAUCAAACAGGUGGCGCUCCAGGGAUUUGGAGAACAGGAUGCCGCGGUCGUCCGACGUGUACAUGGUUCCAAAUGCAUUGACGUCAGGAGAUCCGGGCUCUGCUGUUUGUUGGAACGUCUGCAUGUGGGGUUCCUUUUUUUCCCUGUGCUUGCGUGAGUCUUCUCCACCCCACCCCAAAAAGCAUCCAUGUAAUUGAAGACUAAAUUGUCCAAUUAUACGAAUGUGAGUGCUUGUUCGUCUUUGGGUCCUGUGAUCAGGGGCGCCGUGAGGCACAAUGGUACAAUGGUACUACUGUUUUUUUUUUCUACGGUAAAAUUCUGGCACCAGAGCUGAGUUUUUUUAAAUGUAAAAUCUACUUACUUUUAUUUUUACAGUGUUACUGUAUAAUAAAAAACAGUACCAUUGUUAUUUAUAUGGUACAACUUGGCGACUUAGUUGCCAGUUUUUUUACCAUAAAGACCAGGUUGU